CACGAAGCUGGAAUCGCUAGUAAUCGCGGAUCAGAAUGCCGCGGUGAAUACGUUCCCGGGUCUUGUACACACCGCCCGUCACACCAUGGGAGUCAGCAACGCCCGAAGUCAGUGACCCAACCUUUAAGGAGGGAGCUGCCGAAGGCGGGGCAGGUGACUGGGGUGAAGUCGUAACAAGGUAUC
rnacentral:rRNA from 1 species